UGGGGAAUAUUGGACAAUGGGCGAAAGCCUGAUCCAGCAAUACCGCGUGUGUGAAGAAGGCCUUAGGGUUGUGAAGCACUUUCAAUUGGAAGGGAAAAAGUGAGGUCAAUACCCUCACUCCUGACAUUACCUUUAGAAGAAGCACCGGCUAACUCCGUGCCAGCAGCCGCGGUAAUACGGAGGGUGCGAGCGUUAAUCGGAAUUACUGGGCGUAAAGCGUGCGCAGGCGGUUCGGAAAGAAAGGUGUGAAAUCCCAGGGCUUAACCUUGGAACUGCACUUUUAACUCCCGAGCUAGAGUAUGUCAGAGGGGGGUAGAAUUCCACGUGUAGCAGUGAAAUGCGUAGAGAUGUGGAGGAAUACCAAUGGCGAAGGCAGCCCCCUGGGAUAAUAUUGACGCUCAUGCACGAAAGCGUGGGGAGCAAACAGG
rnacentral:rRNA from 1 species